AGUGAACGCUGGCGGUAGGCCUAACACAUGCAAGUCGAACGGCAGCACAGUAAGAGCUUGCUCUUACGGGUGGCGAGUGGCGGACGGGUGAGGAAUACAUCGGAAUCUACUUUUUCGUGGGGGAUAACGUAGGGAAACUUACGCUAAUACCGCAUACGACCUACGGGUGAAAGUAGGGGAUCUUCGGACCUUGCGCGAUUGAAUGAGCCGAUGUCGGAUUAGCUAGUUGGCGGGGUAAAGGCCCACCAAGGCGACGAUCCGUAGCUGGUCUGAGAGGAUGAUCAGCCACACUGGAACUGAGACACGGUCCAGACUCCUACGGGAGGCAGCAGUGGGGAAUAUUGGACAAUGGGCGCAAGCCCGAUCCAGCCAUACCGCGUGGGUGAAGAAGGCCUUCGGGUUGUAAAGCCCUUUUGUUGGGAAAGAAAAGCAGCAGGUUAAUACCCCGCUGUUCUGACGGUACCCAAAGAAUAAGCACCGGCUAACUUCGUG
rnacentral:rRNA from 1 species